rnacentral:rRNA from 1 species
GACGUAGGGCGCGAGCGUUGUCCGGAUUUAUUGGGCGUAAAGAGCUCGUAGGCGGUCUGUCGCGUCGGCUGUGAAAACUCGGGGCUCAACUCCGAGCUUGCAGUCGAUACGAGCAAACUAGAGUGUUGCAGGGGAGACUGGAAUUCCUGGUGUAGCGGUGAAAUGCGCAGAUAUCAGGAGGAACACCGGUGGCGAAGGCGGGUCUCUGGGCCGAUACUGACGCUGAGACACGAAAGCGUGGGUAGCAAACAGG